AUUGAACGCUGGCGGAAUGCUUUACACACGCAAGUCGAACGGCAGCACGGACUUCGGUCUGGUGGCGAGUGGCGAACGGGUGAGUAAUGUAUCGGAACGUGCCCAGUCGUGGGGGAUAACGUAGUGAAAAUUACGCUAAUACCGCAUACGAUCUAUGAAUGAAAGCGGGGGAUCGCAAGACCUCGCGCGAUUGGAGCGGCCGAUAUCAGAUUAGGUAGUUGGUGGGGUAAAGGCCCCCCAAGCCAACGAUCUGUAGCUGGUCUGAGAGGACGACCAGCCACACUGGAACUGAGACACGGUCCAGACUCCUACGGGAGGCAGCAGUGGGGAAUUUUGGACAAUGGGCGAAAGCCUGAUCCAGCCAUUCCGCGUGCAGGAUGAAGGCCCUCGGGUUGUAAACUGCUUUUGUACAGAACGAAAAGGUUUCUACUAAUACUAGGAGCUCAUGACGGUACUGUAAGAAUAAGCACCGGCUAACUACGUGCCAGCCGCCGCCGUAA
rnacentral:rRNA from 1 species